CCUACGGGAGGCAGCAGUGGGGAAUAUUGGACAAUGGGCGAAAGCCUGAUCCAGCAAUGCCGCGUGAGUGAUGAAGGCCUUAGGGUUGUAAAGCUCUUUUACCAGGGAUGAUAAUGACAGUACCUGGAGAAUAAGCUCCGGCUAACUCCGUGCCAGCAGCCGCGGUAAUACGGAGGGAGCUAGCGUUGUUCGGAAUUACUGGGCGUAAAGCGUACGUAGGCGGUUAUUCAAGUCAGAGGUGAAAGCCUGGAGCUCAACUCCAGAACUGCCUUUGAAACUAGAUAGCUAGAAUCUUGGAGAGGUGAGUGGAAUUCCGAGUGUAGAGGUGAAAUUCGUAGAUAUUCGGAAGAACACCAGUGGCGAAGGCGACUCACUGGACAAGUAUUGACGCUGAGGUACGAAAGCGUGGGGAGCAAACAGGAUUAGAUACCCUGGUAGUCCACGCCGUAAACGAUGAUAACUAGCUGUUCGGGCUCUACGAGCUUGAGUGGCGCAGCUACGACAUUAAGUUAUCCGUCCGUCGGGAGGUACGGUCGCGAAGAAUUAAAACUAACAAAGAAAGUUAGACGGCGUGAGACGUGCCGAACGGACGACGACGAGGGAGGUAGG
rnacentral:rRNA from 1 species